rnacentral:rRNA from 1 species
UGCAGCCUGCAACUCGGCUGCACGAAGCCGGAAUCGCUAGUAAUCGCAGAUCAGCAUGCUGCGGUGAAUACGUUCCCGGGUCUUGUACACACCGCCCGUCACACCAUGGGAGCCGGGAAUGCCCGAAGUCAGCGGCCCAACCGAAAGGAGGGAGCUGCCGAAGGCAGGCCUGGUGACUGGGGUGAAGUCGUAACAAGGUACC